GAUGAACGCUGGCGGCGUGCCUAAUACAUGCAAGUCGAGCGAACAGACCAUGAGCUUGCUCCUCUGACGUUAGCGGCAGACGGGUGAGUCACACGUGGAUCACCUCCCUAUAAUUCUGGGAACACUUCGGGAAACCGGCGCAUAUACCAGAGGAUCUCUUGCACCGCAGGGUUCGAUAGAAAGAUACGGUUUUGCUGUCUCUACUAGAUGGUUACGCGCCGCAUUAGCUAGUUGGUAAGGUAACGGCUUACCAAGGCAACGAUGCGUAGCCGACCUGAGAGGGUGAUCGGCCACACUGGAACUGAGACACGGUCCAGACUCCUACGGGAGGCAGCAGUAGGGAAUCUGCCGCAAUGGGCGAAAGCAUGACGGAGCAAGGGCGCGUGAGUGAUGAAGGUCUUCGGAUCGUAAAACCCUGUUAUGGGGGAAGAACAAAUGUGGAAGUAACUAUGCACGUCGUGACGGUAACUAAUAAGAAAGCAACGGCUAACUACGUG
rnacentral:rRNA from 1 species